GAUCUUGCACACCCAGCAGCAAAGGUAUGCUUUCUCUCUCCAAGCCCAAGCAAUCUUCCCUGUCAACUGGAACAAGAAACUAUUUAUGUUGUUUCUUGAUUUUUAUUUGGGUGUCUCUAAAACAAGUCCCCAACUUCGAUUGAAUUUGCUAUUAUGGCUUGCAUUUUUGAAGAUGAUAAAUUUUCGCAUGUACUUCAGUUAUAAGCUGCAAGUGCAUCUAGAUUCUUAAUCAAUUUUGGCCUUGAUUGCAACUCAUAAUUGAAGUAUAAAUAAAUAGGUCAUAAUUGUAAAUUGCAAAAGAGGUUAAGGGUUUUUGGGUGAUUAAUCAUUUUUAUAAUCGAUUGUAAUUUGAAUUUUUAUAUUUUAAUAGUAGUUUUCAGCUUAAUGUUUCUCACUUACUUUUCAC
rnacentral:misc_RNA from 1 species